rnacentral:rRNA from 1 species
UGGCGGCAGUAGCGCGGUGGUCCCACCUGACCCCAUGCCGAACUCAGAAGUGAAACGCCGUAGCGCCGAUGGUAGUGUGGGGUCUCCCCAUGCGAAAGCAGGUCAUAGUGAUCCG